rnacentral:rRNA from 1 species
UACGUAGGGCGCAAGCGUUAUCCGGAAUUAUUGGGCGUAAAGAGCUCGUAGGCGGUUUGUUGCGUCGGCUGUGAAAUCCCGAGGCUCAACCUCGGGUCUGCAGUCGAUACGAGCAAACUAGAGUGUUGCAGGGGAGACUGGAAUUCCUGGUGAUAGUCGGUGAAAUACGCAGAUAUCAGGAGGAACACCGGUGGCGAAGGCGGGUCUCUGGGCAACAACUGACGCUGAGGAGCGAAAGCGUGGGGAGCGAACAGGA